UACGUAGGGUGCGAGCGUUAAUCGGAAUUACUGGGCGUAAAGCGUGCGCAGGCGGUUCGUUAAGUCAGUUGUGAAAGCCCCGAGCUCAACUUGGGAAUUGCGGUUGAAACUGGCGAACUAGAAUCUGGCAGAGGGGGGUGGAAUUCCCGGUGUAGCGGUGGAAUGCGUAGAGAUCGGGAAGAAUACCAGUGGCGAAGGCGUUCUGCUGGGCCGUUGCUGACACUGAGGCGCGACAGCGUGGGGGAGCAAACAGG
rnacentral:rRNA from 1 species